UUCCACAACACCAUGCUGUGUGCUUUGCACAAGUACUCCUGAUAAUGCUCUGUGUGGGAUUUUCUCCUGUGUGGCUUUGUCCUGCCCCUUACUGUGUUUUGACACAUAUGGAGAAUGGUGUACAGGUCCUAGUCCAGGUGGCUUUUGCAGAAGCAAAAAAGGGAAUUAAUGCAGACUGGAGAUGACACAGGAGCAUUAGCAUGCAUUCACAAACCACUGUUGCCCACAGGGACGGAAUGACCAUUGAAAGGGCAAGAGGAACCUGUAGCCACCCAUUAUGAUGUCAGGGAAGUUCUAAAAGAAUAGUUACUGCUUUUCUCAGUCAAGACCGGGUAUGAUAUAUACCCAACAUCUUUAUAAUACAUGAGUUCAUCAUUUAUUUAAUCGACUUCCUACAGAUCUGGCUUUUCUCAGUGCUUCUUGCUAUUAUUAGUAGUUUUCUAGUGUUCAAUCUGUUCCUUUUUCAAAGAGUGCCUUGGUACUUUGGGUAAUUUGAGAUGUGACUGGAAGGGAAAGAGAUCAGAUUAGAUUGGAGUCACAGGAAGACUGCAGAAGGGCCAGUGAGACGCACCUGGCUGAGGACAGGCCUGGAGGCUCCAGCAACUUAGGUGACAAAGGGUUUAUUCUGAUUCACUGCUGCAAGCCGCAGGAAAACAUAAUGGAUCAGCUACUAUCACAAAAGCUGUUACUUGGGAAGGUUAAGGACUUUUCUGAAGGUCAAGCCAUGGCUUAAGAAGUCUUGGUGAACGUCUGUCUGCACGUC